ACUGCAAACAACGUGUGAGGGCGGUGCCGGUACACCGCGCCGAUGGCACACGUGCACGUUGAUUGACGGUAGUGCGUUAGUUGCUUUAAUCCAUUCAUUUUCGCGACUUCGUGUAUAUCAAGAAAUUAGUCUGAAGAAUCGCUGAUGGCACACCUAGUACCUACAUGAUGACAUUGAUGGAAAGACUGGUGGUCUAUGAGUUUAAAUGUCUGUGGUGCCGCGGCAUACACAAAACGGGAAAACAGGACAUGACAAGGUUUGGAGCGCUCCUUGCUAUGUUUGUAAAGCGGGCUCAAAAGAGACUCAAGUUCCAGUGAGGCCCCAAGUGACAGCCACUCUGACAGUGAUGAGGAGCAAGAACAGUGGAUGGAGAAAGCAGCAGGUGUUAAAGGUGAUAGCCGCGUGGUUGGUCCCCUGCCUCUAAGCUCAUCUUCUGGCAUCACUGCCCCGGAAGAACCACCUCAUAUGAAAGCUGUGGGUAUG
rnacentral:lncRNA from 1 species